GAUGAACGCUGGCGGCGUGCUUAACACAUGCAAGUCGAACGAAGCAUUUGCGACAGAUUUUUUCGGAAUGAAGUUGCUUAUGACUGAGUGGCGGACGGGUGAGUAACGCGUGGGUAACCUGCCUUGUACUGGGGGAUAGCAGCUGGAAACGGCUGGUAAUACCGCAUAAGCGCACAAUGUUGCAUGACAUGGUGUGAAAAACUCCGGUGGUAUAAGAUGGACCCGCGUCUGAUUAGCUAGUUGGUGAGAUAACAGCCCACCAAGGCGACGAUCAGUAGCCGACCUGAGAGGGUGACCGGCCACAUUGGGACUGAGACACGGACCAGACUCCUACGGGAGGCAGCAGUGGGGAAUAUUGCACAAUGGAGGAAACUCUGAUGCAGCGACGCCGCGUGAGUGAAGAAGUAAUUCGUUAUGUAAAGCUCUAUCAGCAGGGAAGAUAGUGACGGUACCUGACUAAGAAGCUCCGGCUAAAUACGUG
rnacentral:rRNA from 1 species